GUCAAUAACCCCUGUCUGAAGACAGAGGCUUGAAAGAGCCUUUAUUGACUAGCCUCAGCGGCGCUACGUUGGUUGGGAAUGUAUAGGCACCGUGGGAUGUACAUCCUAGUUCCACGCAC
rnacentral:sRNA from 1 species